AAGCACUCUGUGUGGGGAACAUGAGAGCCAGACCAAAGCUCAGAGGAACCCACCUGGACCUCCACCCAGCUCUGUGUCCUUAAAGAGUGACGGGUCUAAAGAUAUGCCUGUUGGUUUUAAAUCCGAGCCUCUGUCUGCUGCAGAGAGAGUGGACCAGCAGAGCUCAGAGGUUCCCAGUGGUCAGUCUGCU